AUGAAGAGGGUUGUAGACAUUGUUUCUCUUUUCCAGAGGGAAGCUAUGAAAAUAGGUAAGAAGAAGAAGGCGGAGAAUAUGCCGGAUGUGGCUGAAGAGCAAACCGGCGAAGUUGUGUGUAUGCCGGUUGUGAUUGAAGAGCAAACUGAAGAACCAAUAUUGUCUAUGUCAAAUGUGACCACAGAGCAAACUGAAGAUGUGUCAUCGCCGUAUCGUCAAGAGCUUGAAAAACGGUUUGAUGAGAUCAAUAUGGAAUUGCUAUCUUGUAUGUCUGCUUUGAAUCCUGCCAACUCAUUUGCUGCUUUUGAUGCACAAAAGGUAUGA
rnacentral:rRNA from 1 species